AUACGAGGCACAGUGCCUCUUGAACACAGUGGAAACUUACGCAUAAGUCUUCAGCUUAAAAAAGGCUUGGAUGAAAAUUUAGUAAUUAUCUGUUUUGGGGAUACAAAGGGAGUGUUGUCAAUCAACUCGGAGAGGCACGUGUCUUGCGACACUAGAGCAUAAUGAAUAAUCAACAAAUUAUGAAAGCUCUACAAGGAAAACUUUAUCACAAUAAUAUAUAUUUCUUAGGCUGUCUUCCCGCUGACGAUGUAGCGAAAUUAAAUCUAAGGAGUGAGUCAGACAAGCCCAUUGUCUUUAUUGCUAAUGUGUUAGGCGCAUCGCAAGCUUCGAAAAUGGGUCACUGGGUGGUGUUCUAUGUUAGUGAUAAGUGUAUAUAUUUCUUCGACACAUACGCCCUGACCCCAUCAUUAUAUUCUAAGUACUUUCGAAGUUUCUUAAAUAAGCAUAAAGAUUAUCCUGUUUUUAAACUUGCCGCAAGAUUACAGUCGGACAAAACUCUGGUGUGUGGCGUGUAUUGCAUUCAAUUCGUAUACUUAUGUAAUAAAAUAGGCUUAGAGAGGACUAGUCAGUUUCUGAAAGAUAAUUAUGAUUUAGGAAAUUUUUUGAAGAAUGACAGAAAGGUGUUAACAUAUGCUUAUAGAAUGUUUAAAAUGCCCCCAUGUAUAAAAACAUUUUGUCAAUCUAGUCAAGGACUGACUUACAAGCAUUGUAUUUCUAAGAUAUGUGGCUAACUUAUUAAAUGCUACAAUGUGUGUGUGUGUAAAAAAUGUAGAGCAGUAGCAUGUAGCUUAUUCAUUUAUGGCGUGUGUGUGCAAUUAUAUGUAGUUAUUAAGAACAGGAUUUUUUUUUUUUCGUGCGAUGUGACCGGGUGGGUGUGAGUUUGUUCACGCUUUCCUAUGUGUAAAAAAAAUGUAGAGAAGUAGUAUAUAGCUUAUUCAUUUAUGGCGUGUGUGUGUAGUUAUAUGUAGUUAUUAAGAACAGGAUUCUGUUUUUUUUUUUUUUUUCGUGCGACGUGACCGGGUGGGUGUGAGUUUGUUCACGCUUUCCUAUUGUUCGGAUGAAGAAUGGCUUGUGGUUUUGGGCAUGUGCGCGCGUGUUUGCAUACAUGUGUGGGCGUGUUUGCAUACAUGUGUGGGCGUGUCCCCUAUAACCUGGGGUAGCCUCGGAAGAAGAAAAGGCUUGUGGUAGUGUGCGCAUAUGCCCCAAAUAACCCCGGGUAGCUUAGUCAGUCCCCUAACGUUGCGAGAGGAGCGUCAUGGAGGAAGUCUUCGCCGUCAUGAACUUACAACAACAACAACAACAACAACAACAACAGCCCCACGCUGCCGCUGCAACUCUUCAUGCUGACGAUGUUGACGAUCAGAUAAUGGGUCAAGCCGCAUUAGAAGUUGAAGCCAUGGAUAACACAUCCCAAGCUGAAGCCGUGGAUAACACAUCACAUCCCAGAAACGGAGCGGAUGUUGGUGGUGGUGAGGUGGGGGAUGUUCCAGAAACUCCCAAGUCUACCGGUGAACAUAUCACGGGCGAGUCAUUGGGCAACAACAACCGCGGCGCGUUGGGAGGUGUCGGUAAAAUGGGGCGGCGUGUGCUGAGGGAAGGAUGUGAUACCUCCAUUACCAGUGUCUCAUCUGAAGAACGACCCACCGGACAGCGUAACGCAUAUCCACGGCAACAACAACAGACACGCUUCGGUGAUGGUGUGUCUUGACUCUCCGUCGGGCGCUGAAUCGCGAGAGCGGCGGCGAAGUCAUCUGCAGCAAAAAGAUCAUGAAAUGCGUCAAUCACGACUGGAAAAAAAAAUGCAGCAUAUGGCGGAAGUGUUGCG